UAGAAACAAUACAAUGAGAUAACAAAAAGAAGAUAUAAAGAAACAAAAAUAAAAAGCUAACACUCAACCCAAAUCAAACUAAGAUAGGUUUGACUCUUUCUAGCUUUGAUUUAUUAAGUUCCCAGCUGAGUCGCCAGCUGCCGCAUCUCAAAAAAACGUGAUCCUUCGCAAAGUGUUCGUAUGCUCAGAAAAAAAGUUCGAACAUAGUCGCCACCAAAAUUUAUUUAUUCCAAAAGAGGAAAAAGGAAAAUAUCGAUAAAACCUUUAAAA
rnacentral:lncRNA from 1 species